rnacentral:tRNA from 1 species
GGGGUCGUAGCUCAGCUGGGAGAGCGCUUGAAUGGCAUUCAAGAGGUCAGGGGUUCGAUCCCCCUCGGCUCCA